AUUGAACGCUGGCGGCAGGCCUAACACAUGCAAGUCGAACGAGUGGCGGACGGGUGUGUAACGUCUGGGAAACUGCCUGAUGGAGGGGGAUAACCUUUGGAAACGGUAGUUAUUACCGCAUAUCAUAAGAUGGGCCCAGAUGGGAUUAGCUUGUUGGUGGGGUGACGGCUCACCAAGGCGACGAUCACUAGCUGGUCUGAGGGGAUGACCAGCCACACUGGAACUGAGACACGGGCCAGACUCCUACGGGCGGAAGCGGUGGGGAAUAUUGCACAAUGGGAGCAAGCCUGAUGCAGCCAUGCCGCGUGUAUGAGGGAGGCAUUCGGGUUGUAAAGUACUUUCAGCGUGGAGGCGUUACCCGCAGAAGAAGCACCGGCUAACUCCGUGCCAGCAGCCGCGGUAAUUC
rnacentral:rRNA from 1 species